GUCGCUGCCAAAUCAGCGACCGGGCGUAGGAACCCGAAUCAGUCAAGGUGCGACAGCGCCAACCAACCAGUGCAGGCGCUUUUUU
rnacentral:sRNA from 1 species